UACGUAGGGUGCGAGCGUUUGUCCGGAAUUAUUGGGCGUAAAGAGCUUGUAGGCGGUUUGUCGCGUCUGCCGUGAAAAUCCGAGGCUCAACCUCGGACUUGCGGUGGGUACGGGCAGACUAGAGUGUGGUAGGGGAGACUGGAAUUCCUGGUGUAGCGGUGAAAUGCGCAGAUAUCAGGAGGAACACCGAUGGCGAAGGCAGGUCUCUGGGCCACUACUGACGCUGAGAAGCGAAAGCAUGGGGAGCGAACAGG
rnacentral:rRNA from 1 species